rnacentral:rRNA from 1 species
UAGAGUUUGAUCCUGGCUCAGAAUGAACGCUGGCGGCGUGCUUAACACAUGCAAGUCGAACGAGAAAGUCCGGAGCUUGCUUUGGACGAGUAAAGUGGCGCACGGGUGAGUAACGCGUGGGUAAUCUACCUUUGAAUUUGGGAUAACACUUCGAAAGGGGUGCUAAUACCGGAUAAUAUCUUUUUCAUUGCGGUGGAGAAGAUCAAAGAUGGCCUCUUCUUGAAAGCUAUUGUUUGAAGAUGAGCCCGCGUACCAUUAGCUUGUUGGUGGGGUAAAGGCCUACCAAGGCGACGAUGGUUAGCUGGUCUGAGAGGAUGAUCAGCCACACUGGAACUGGAACACGGUCCAGACUCCUACGGGAGGCAGCAGUGAGGAAUUUUGCGCAAUGGGGGAAACCCUGACGCAGCAACGCCGCGUGAGUGAUGAAGGCUUUCGGGUCGUAAAGCUCUGUCAAGUGGGAAGAAGUUAUGCAUGGUUAAUACCUGUGCAUAUUGACGGUACCACUGAAGGAAGCACCGGCUAACUCCGUGCCAGCAGCCGCGGUAAUACGGAGGGUGCAAGCGUUAUUCGGAUUUACUGGGCGUAAAGGGCGCGUAGGCGGCUUGAUAAGUCAGUCGUGAAAGCCCGGGGCUCAACCCCGGAAGUGCGAUUGAAACUAUCAGGCUUGAGUAUGGUAGAGGGAAGUGGAAUUCCAGGUGUAGCGGUGAAAUGCGUAGAUAUCUGGAGGAACACCGGUGGCGAAGGCGACUUCCUGGACCAAUACUGACGCUGAUGCGCGAAGGUGUGGGUAGCAAACAGGAUUAGAUACCCUGGUAGUCCACACAGUAAACGGUGAUCACUAUGUGUUGCGGGUAUUGACCCCUGCAGU